GGGGGCCGCGCCUUCUGCACCCUGGAGCCUGCAACUCGUGACGCACACGCGGCUCGGCCGGGUUCUUCUCUGCGGACCCGCAGCACAGGGUCCCAAGCUGGGGAGAGCCGCGGGAGAUGAAGAAGAAAUUGGAAAAUAACAAGAAAGAAGGAUACGUACCAAGAUUACGCUGCACAGCCGGACGCGCUCAGGGCUCUGGGGGCCGGGGUGAGCUGUAUUUAUAGCGUGGGAGCCCCGCGUGGCCUAGGCUGGAGGUCUUUGGCUCGUGAUCGGGCAUGCGCAGAAAGGGAACAAGGAUACACAAUGUAACUGUCUCCUGGCCCCUCGCCAUCCAGGGUCCACAGUCGAUGGAGGAGAAGGGAGUAGGGGGUCAGGCGACGCCAUCUUCAGGCUCGGCCCACGGCACUUCUCUCACUGGCUGAGUUCUCUGAACAUUUAACACGCAAAACCCACUCUUUGCUCACAGCCCAUGCAGAAACUGGUGCCGGCCACAUGUGGUCUUCUAACUCCUGGCGCUGAUCGAAGUGAGUUAGAAGAAGACUCGAGGCCCUGAGAAUCCAAACAGUGGAGGAGGGCCCGGGAAGCCAGCACAGCCUUCCCAGGGCAGCCUGCGUACAGAGGCAUGGCCGGUUCAUUUCACGUGAAGCAGACGACAGAAAAGUAUUAAGGUGAAACCUUGUUCAGUUAUUACAGCAGCAGAGAGCACAGCCAGAAUGGCCUCCCCGUGGACAGGGAAAGACCACAGAGAGGCGACCACAAAACAGACCUUGGUGUAUUUCAGGAAAAGCUAGCAGACCAGGAAAACCAUCUAAACCUUGAGAAAUCACAUGCAUCAGAAAAACUCACUGAUGAGACAAGAGGAUUCUGGAAAGAGUUAGAAAUUUUAAAAAGUGAAUUUCAGAAACAGACUAAACUAGGAGGAACACAGUAUCAAAAUAUGGGAUACCUUAAGAGUAACAGAAAGUAAAAACGAGGAACAUUCUUCAAAUAAAAAAGUGAAGAAUUUUACAAACUGCCAGAAUGUAAUAAACAUUGAAGAUAGGCAAAGGAGAUGGCCUAGGAAUUCCUGAAGAAGAAACCAAAUCAAAGAAAAACUGAAUACAAAAUACUACCAUUGAAGAACAUGUUGACGAAUUUUUUGAAAAAGAUUUGAAACCACAAAUUGUACAUCACAUUCCUGAGAUGAUCACCUCAAAAUAAUCAAAUUACUAAAAUCUGAAGAAAAGGGAAAAAAUCCUAUGGAUUGUUCUGCUAGUUGGCUAGGGCUGCCCUACAAAAAGGCAUAGACUUGGUGAGUUAAAUAACGGCAAAAAUGUGUUUUCUCCCAGCCCCAGAAGCGGAAGUCCCAGAUCAUGUUGGGGUUGUUGCUAAGAGGCCGAGCUCAGAGCAGCGAGCAUGGCCUUCGCCCCGGACCUCAGAUGACUUUGUCAUGUGCAUCCCAGUGUCACUGCCUGUCUCUGUCGGACACUGGUGACGGUGGCCUUGGGGCCCCAUGACCUCCUAUGACCUGGAAACCACCUCCAGAUACAGUUAGGCGCAGGAAGCAGGGGACACAGUUCAGCCCACAGCGGAUGUUUCCAGAAAGCACAUGACAGCCCCCUCCAGGUCCCGGUGAGAGGCUGAGACCAGACAGCGAAGAGCGAGCGUGGCACAAGCCCUGAAGACAGCACCCGAGAGAAGCAAGCCCCCGCCCCCGGAAGUGACAGAGUGCUCUGCUGGCAGCCCCACCUCCCAAGUCACUCGGGGAACAAUCGCCUAACUUCCCCACCACGAAGCUCCGCUUACAGUGCCCACCGAGAAGUUCAAACGUGCAGUGGAUUUAAACCUCACCUCUGGCUGCAGCCAAACACCUGCCUCCACUCUGUCCCCCCAGGCCCCUUGCCCCUAUAGGAGUCACCUAGCCAGCCCCUGGCCGCUGCUCUGCCAUUGUUCGAGACAGCCCGGCACCUGUCCCC
ensembl:lncRNA